rfam:Phytophthora infestans T30-4 supercont1.4 genomic scaffold, whole genome shotgun sequence.
UCUCCUAUAGCUCAGUUGGUAGAGCGUGCGGCUGUUAAUCUCAAGGUCGCUGGCUCAAACCCAGCUGGGAGAG